GGGGGGGGGCAAUGUCAAAAUCUGUUUUAUUCGAGUCAUAAACUGUACAAUAUCAGCGGGACUUUGCAGCCUGUUGUGGAGUGAGUAUCUAUCUAGCACUGUUACUGAUUACCCAGAGGUCUGGAUAGCAGUGUGUUCCACUCGUCAGAAUCUGAACAGGAAACUGACUUUGAGAGGGAGUUCACCUCUGACACUCCCUGUGUCACAGCCAGUGUUAUGAAACGCCACUGAAUGGAAAACACACACCCAGUUCAUGAUUGGGUUAUGUUUUCGCAAAGUUUACCAAAACAAAUCAUUUUAACAUUCUGCUAAUUGUCCAUAUGCUUUGUUUUGAAGGUGAGGAAGGUCAUAAUUUGUAAUAAUAAAACAGUUUGCCAGGUCCUGUGCCAUACAUAGUUCCCUUUGCAAGUUUGCUUAGUUGUCAAACCUAACUACUUUCUCUAUUAGCAAGGUGAAGAGUUUUUAGGCAAAUUCCACAUAGUUUUGAUAUCUUAGCCUAUUGAUACAUUUGCUGCAUUCAUUGUUCUUUAAAAAGAAAAACUGGGUCCAAGCAGAAGAAAAUCCAUAGCCUAACACAUUUGGCUUCGUUCACACAGACAAGUCCCAGCAAGAGCUGAGAAACAGCAAAAUAUAUGAGACUGGUUCCUCCUGAGUCUUCAGGGGCUUGGCACAGUUUGAUUGGGAUCACUACUAUUGACUCUACUGUGAGCAUGUCCAUUGCACCCUAGCCACUUCUGCAUUUGGGGCUCAACUGCAGAAAUCAAUACCUAUUGAUUUGGGGGCAUUGACACAAGUGUGACAUGCCCUGGAAGCAUGUAGCAACAUAGACCACACAGGGAAUCACUGCCGCUCAAAGCCACAUAAAACACACGUCAAAUAAUUUGUCAACAAAAGCACCAAAACAUUUGCCAAGAAAAUAGCUAGUUGAAGAUCAUAUUUAAUAUGACUACAUGGCAUACAACUCUUAAGUUUGAGGUGAACAUUUUCAUAUACACAAUAAUUUUACAAAACAAUUCAAGUAAUUUAAAACAGAAUCAGAGUCCUACAAGAAUUACACGAUAACAAUCACAACACACCUGUCUACCAUAGCAUAUUUAAACAAUCCCUGGGCGCAGACCGCUUGAAGAGAUAUCGCAGGUUAAAAACAGUCUUGGUUGCACGCAAAACAAACUUGCUACUAGAUGAAAAUAACUGCAUGCCUUACCGUCGAUGGUUAUGAUAGUAACCUUACAUAUUGGCUUCUAUCCAAACCAACACAGGAGAACCCACAAAUAAGUCCAGACCACCAUCGCGAACACGAUGACCAGGAUGAGACUCCCCACUCCCACAGCCACCCACAGCUUCCAGCCUGCAAGUCCCACUUCCU